GCGAGAAGCACGAAACGAAUCCCCAUACCAUAAAGUCAACAUACCUCCUCGACUUCACCCUCCAUUCGCAUAAGCUCUCUCUAGAUCUUCCGGAGAUCUAUAUCUUCCAGAGAUCUAGAGAGAGAGAGGGGAGAGAGUGGAAGGUAAAAGAGAAGACGGAGAGAGAGAGGAGGGGAGAGAGUGGAAGGUAAAAGAGAAGACGGAGAGAGACAGAGGAGAGAGCGGUCUGCAUAAUAUUGGCCCAUGGGCGACCUCGGCAGCAGUACCC
rnacentral:lncRNA from 1 species